AGCGAACGCUGGCGGCAGGCUUAACACAUGCAAGUCGAACGCCCCGCAAGGGGAGUGGCAGACGGGUGAGUAACACGUAGGAAUGUACCCUUUGGUUCGGAAUAACUUGGGGAAACCCAAGCUAAUACCGGAUAAGCCCUUAUGGGGAAAGGUUUACUGCCGAAGGAUCGGCCCGCGGCUGAUUAGCUAGUUGGUGAGCUAAUGGCUUACCGAGGCGACGAUCAGUAGCUGGGCUGAGAGGCUGAUCAGCCACACUGGGAAUGAGACACGGCCCAGACUCCUACGGGGGGCAGCAGUUGGGGAUAUUGGACAAUGGGGGCAACCCUGAUCCAGCCAUGCCGCGUGAGUGAUGAAGGCCUUAGGGUUGUAAAGCUCUUUUACCCGGGACGAUAACGACUGUACCGGGAGAAUAAGCCCCGGCUAACUUCGUGCCAGCCGCCGCAGUAA
rnacentral:rRNA from 1 species